CCCGCCCCUCACCCUCCGUGAUUGUAGCUCCGAGGGCCAACCCCUCUGGUUAACCCGGUGAUCGGGAGCUACGUGCCCGCUGCGCCUUUGUCCUUCGUGCACACAGUGCUGGCAAAGACUGUCUAGAAAAUACCCAGGGGUGGGAGUCGGGAGGAGAGAGAUGCUUAAGGAUAUGACGGUUACUGUUGAGCGUUUCUUCUUGCUCUGCAUCUGGAGGUUUGUCUAGGGUGGAGAAGGUCGCCCAAAAGCUUAGUGUUGACAUCCAUGUUUUGGAAAAUUGUACUGUGCUUAUUACUUUUCAUGCGGAAGCUUCUAGACUUUUGCAGAAGAGACAAAAUACUGGAGCGAAGUCCUUGGUUGGCGGGGUAGGGUUGCCUCAGUCUUUGUGUUGAUAGGUGAGGAAAGUGGGCCACCUAGAGUCAGGCCCCGGAAAAUGUUUGCCCUCAGGCUUUGGUUCUCAGCUUGUUAUUCUCAAGGAGUCAAGGCUGUGUACAAAUUGUAACUUUGUUUUGAAAAUUAACUGAAAGUCACUGGUAGUCACUGUUGGGGUCUAUGAGAUACAGUUUGUUAAAUAACAAACUCCUUACUUAAUAUAUUAUUUUUCUCAAAUUUGCUAAAUGAGUAUGAUAAUGUGUUUGAAUUUAUGUAAAUGACUGUAAAGCAUUUUAAUGAUAUGCCUCCUGUUUCCCAAAGUUAAUGUUACAGACUUUGCCCUUUGAUGACCAUGCUGUCUUAUGACAAUGUACGUGUUCGACCCAAACAGCUGGGAUGCAGGGCGCAGAGCACUUCUUUUCAGAAUGUCUGAAUAUUUACGCAUCAUGAAGACCUUGAAGCUGUGUUUUAAAUUACUUUCAAAGAGUGUUUUUGUUUUCUGGGAAGUGUGUUCAGUAAAGGUUAGGAAUUCUGCACUGCAAUAUUUUUCUUUUAUUUGAGGAGGUAGACACUGCGGUCCACAAUGCUACAAAAAGAACUGCAGGAGAAGACUUUUUUUUUUUUUUUUUUUUUUUUUAAGUUUGUCAGAGCUGUUCUGUGUGCUGUUGCCCUUGUGACACCCGUCUGUAACCAUUUAUCACUGAGACAUUUUCUCAUCAGUAGACAAAAGAUAUAUUCCCUACUUGAUAUGUAGGGCUUCAGCUGCUCAGCCUUCAUGAAUGUUAAUGUGAAUACAACCUUCUUUCUGCGUAUUUUCAUUAGAGGAAAAGUAUAUGCAAGACCUUUAUUCAAGCCAUUGGGGAUACAGUGUUUAAGAAGACUGUUUCCUUACUCACAAAGCUUCCAUGUCUAGGCACGUGGAAAAAUCUCCAAAAUGUAUUUUAAAGAGAAAAAGGCAAAAGUGGUGGAGAAACAGAGAAUCACUUGGAGAGCUUGACUUGGAGUUUGAGGAAUAGAGGAGCUGGUACCCGACUCAUCCUGAAAAAGUCAAAAGGAGCCAUUAAAGAGCAUAGUGAAAAGUAGAGGAGUUGGAAGGAGUAGAGAAAAUGAGUGACCGUGUCCUCCUUCUUCACUGCAGGCAUUAUAAACUGGAUCGGGCUCAAGCCAAAGAAGAACUGACUCACAAAACUUAAAUGGGAGGGUAAGCUUUGCUUUGUACUAUCUGACAAUGAGACUAUUUUUUAAUACUGUAACUGAAAAUGAAUGUGAAACAUGGGGCCCACCCAAAAUCUCAUCCUGGGCACAGAAAAGAAUUUCGAACAAUGCAGGUUUAAUGAGUCACUGAUAAGAUAGAACAGAAUUGUGUUAAUUCAGUAAACUGGCUUCUUAGAUAUUGAGCCCCUUUCCAGUAUUUCCUCUUCAGGUUAAUCUUAUGUGGAACACUGGAAAAGAACUGCUUUCUUAUUCACUACCAGAGUGUCUCUGACCUUUGACUCUGAUUUAGGAGACAUUGUUCAAUGGUUAUUGUCCUAUGAAAUCAUGCAGAAUUGUAUUAUGCUCCUUUGUGUGAACUGCAAACAGAACCUUCCCAACUGUUGGGUGGAGUAGAUUAUCACUGACAACAUGAAAUUUUUUCAGUAAUGCCACUCAGAUUCUGCCCCUGCCAUGGGAGCCAACUGCAAUUUGUUUGGAUAUAUAUAUAUUUAAAGAAAUGUUUUAAUGUUUAUUUAUUACCGAGAAACAGA